GGAUGCUUUAACAUGCAAGUCGAACGGCAGCACGGACUUCGGUCUGGUGGCGAGUGGCGAACGGGUGAGUAACAUAUCGGAACGUAUCCAAUAAUGGGGGAUAACGAGUCGAAAGAUUCGCUAAUACCGCAUACGCCCUACGGGGGAAAGCUGGGGACCUUCGGGCCUGGCGUUAAUGGAGCGGCCGAUAUCUGAUUAGCUAGUUGGUGAGGUAAAGGCUCACCAAGGCGACGAUCAGUAGCUGGUCUGAGAGGACGACCAGCCACACUGGAACUGAGACACGGUCCAGACUCCUACGGGAGGCAGCAGUGGGGAAUUUUGGACAAUGGGCGCAAGCCUGAUCCAGCCAUUCCGCGUGAGUGAAGAAGGCCUUCGGGUUGUAAAGCUCUUUCGCAAGGGAAGAAAACUUAGCCACUAACAUUGGCUGAGGUUGACGGUACCUUGAUAAGAAGCACCGGCUAACUACGUGCCAGCAGCCGCGGUAAUACGUAGGGUGCGAGCGUUAAUCGGAAUUACUGGGCGUAAAGCGUGCGCAGGCGGCUUUGUAAGUCAGAUGUGAAAUCCCCGAGCUCAACUUGGGAACUGCGUUUGAAACUACAAGGCUAGAAUAUGUCAGAGGGGGGUAGAAUUCCACGUGUAGCAGUGAAAUGCGUAGAGAUGUGGAGGAAUACCAAUGGCGAAGGCAGCCCCCUGGGAUAAUAUUGACGCUCAUGCACGAAAGCGUGGGGAGCAAACAGGAUUAGAUACCCUGGUAGUCCACGCCCUAAACGAUGUCUACUAGUUGUUGGUGGAGUAAAAUCCAUGAGUAACGCAGCUAACGCGUGAAGUAGACCGCCUGGGGAGUACGGUCGCAAGAUUAAAACUCAAAUGAAUUGACGGGGGCCCGCACAAGCGGUGGAUUAUGUGGAUUAAUUCGAUGCAACGCGAAAACCUUACCUGGCC
rnacentral:rRNA from 1 species